AGCCUAAUACAUGCAAGUCGAGCGGACUAAUGGGAGCUUGCUCCCAGAGGUUAGCGGCGGACGGGUGAGUAACACGUGGGCAACCUGCCCUGUAGACUGGGAUAACACCGAGAAAUCGGUGCUAAUACCGGAUAACUUCCGAGGUCACCUGACCUUGGAUUAAAAGAUGGCUCCGGCUAUCACUACAGGAUGGGCCCGCGGCGCAUUAGCUAGUUGGUGAGGUAAUGGCUCACCAAGGCGACGAUGCGUAGCCGACCUGAGAGGGUGAUCGGCCACACUGGGACUGAGACACGGCCCAGACUCCUACGGGAGGCAGCAGUAGGGAAUCUUCCGCAAUGGACGAAAGUCUGACGGAGCAACGCCGCGUGAGUGAUGAAGGAUUUCGGUUCGUAAAGCUCUGUUGUUAGGGAAGAACAAGUGCCGUUCGAAUAGGGCGGCACCUUGACGGUACCUAACCAGAAAGCCACGGCUAACUACGUGCCAGCAGCCGCGGUAAUACGUAGGUGGCAAGCGUUGUCCGGAAUUAUUGGGCGUAAAGCGCGCGCAGGCGGUCUUUUAAGUCUGAUGUGAAAGCCCACGGCUCAACCGUGGAGGGUCAUUGGAAACUGGGAGACUUGAGUACAGAAGAGGAGAGUGGAAUUCCACGUGUAGCGGUGAAAUGCGUAGAUAUGUGGAGGAACACCAGUGGCGAAGGCGACUCUCUGGUCUGUAACUGACGCUGAGGCGCGAAAGCGUGGGGAGCAAACAGGAUUAGAUACCCUGGUAGUCCACGCCGUAAACGAUGAGUGCUAGGUGUUAGGGGUUUCGAUGCCCUUAGUGCCGAAGUUAACACAUUAAGCACUCCGCCUGGGGAGUACGACCGCAAGGUUGAAACUCAAAGGAAUUGACGGGGGCCCGCACAAGCAGGGGAGCAUGUGGUUAAUUUCGAGCAACGCCGAAAACCUUACCAGGUCUUGACAUCCUUUGACCACCCUAAAAUAGGGCUUUCCCUUUCCGGGGACAAAGUGACCGGUUGUGCAUGGUGUCGUCAGCUCGGUCGUGAAAUGUUUGGUUAAGUUCCCCACACGGAGCGCCACCUUGAUUCUAGUUUGCCACAUUCAAUUUGCACUCAAGGGGACUGCCGGGGGCACAAACGGAGGAAAGGGGGGACAGCACUUCAACCAUCUUGCCCUUUGGACCUGGCUCAACCGGUCUUAAUGGAGUGUCAUAGAAGGCUUAUCCGGGGGUCGACCCAACUCCUUAGAUGCCAUCUCUACACUUGCAUAAUUAUAAAGC
rnacentral:rRNA from 1 species